UCUCAACACGUGGCAGUAGGCAGCAGAAUUAAUUCCCUGUGCCUCCUGCAAUUCCCUGAGCCUCCCUUUCUCAAAACGCCAGCUUUCUCACAAGGAUAGCCUGAGACAUACGGAAGUGGGAAUGAUGUUCUGUUCUCAGGUGAAGUGUUUGUGCAUAUGUGUGUGUCGGGGGAGAGGAAGAUUUCCUGACCAACAAAGGGCCCAGGCCGACUGCCACAAGUCUGAAUGCAGACCUGCAGAAGCAGCAGCAACUCAAAAGGACAGCAUUCCACAGACCUUCCCUGCACUGCCCUUCAUAGCCCACUCUGCAGCUGGACCUGCCUACUCGCCAUACACCCUGAAAGCUCCCACUUAUCCACCUAACCUCAACUUGCUCUAGUGUUCGAGGAGGGCUGAGUGGUGGUUUUCCUCGGGCCUUCCAACACUUGCCCUUCUCCCCCAAGUAUUACAAGCCCUCAUUCUAAAUAUAUCCCUGAUUUCAUAAUACUAAUAGAAGUGCUGCUUCUCUGAUUAAACCCUGACU
rnacentral:lncRNA from 10 species